GCCUCCGUAGCGCAGUGGUAGCGCAGCUGUCUUGUAAACAGCAGGUCGUCGGUUCGAUCCCGACCGGGGGCUC
rnacentral:tRNA from 1 species